UCCCAAGCCCGCUCUUAAACUUCUUCUCCCUCUUUGGCUCUAAACCUUCUUACCUAAAACCCUUAUACAACCACCACGACACCCCCGUCGUGCACUCCUUGCCGCCGACGUCUACCUCUUGGUGUCGUGACUUCCACACCCCAAUUGUUUUCAAAGCCUUCUCUUUUACGGAACUCGUGAAUGAUCCGUAGCAGGAUCAAACUAAUCUUUGUGUGAGGUGUUAUUUAAUCAAGUUUUCAGGAACUUGAUGUGAUGCUGUGACAUGCUUGCAUACGGGAUUAAUGGAGAGUUCACUAGUUAGGAUUUAUUUUUCUAAGUUGGUUUCAUUUGUGAGUUCAGAUUUUAGUAUUUUAAUUUCAAGGGUUUAUUCAAUAUACACUAUUAUUUAUUUCGAUUAUUAUUAUUCA